UACAGAGGGCUCAACCGUUGUUCGGAUUCAUUGGGCGUAAAGGGCGCGUAGGCGGUCGCGCAAGUCGGAUGUGAAAUCUCAGGGCUCAACCCUGAAACUGCAUUCGAUACUGCGUGGCUAGAGUACUGGAGAGGAGACUGGAAUUUACGGUGUAGCAGUGAAAUGCGUAGAUAUCGUAAGGAAGACCAGUGGCGAAGGCGAGUCUCUGGACAGUAACUGACGCUGAGGCACGAAAGCCAGGGGAGCAAACGGG
rnacentral:rRNA from 1 species